rnacentral:rRNA from 1 species
UACGGGGGGGGCAAGCGUUGUUCGGAAUUACUGGGCGUAAAGGGCUCGUAGGUGGCCAACUAAGUCAGACGUGAAAUCCCUCGGCUUAACCGGGGAACUGCGUCUGAUACUGGACGGCUUGAGAUUGGGAGAGGGAUGCGGAAUUCCAGGUGUAGCGGUGAAAUGCGUAGAUAUCUGGAGGAACACCGGUGGCGAAGGCGGCAUCCUGGACCAACACUGACACUGAGGAGCGAAAGCCAGGGGAGCAAACGGG